CCUGGGUGGAGGUGCCGCGUGAUUUCCUCACGAUGGGCGUGUUGGGAUCCCUAAGGAGCAGGUGGGUAAAGUCUGGCUCCUGCAGCACCUGCCUGCUCUCGUUAACCGCCCCGCUGCAGCAGGGAGAGGAGGUGGAGGAACAGAUGGAGAGAGGGAAGACAGAGGGGUGGGAGAAGAUGGAGGAGUGUGUGGAGCAGGCAGUGGGAGACGAGGUUAAUGUUCUGAGUUAGGAAGGGAGGUGGGGGUGAGUGCAGAGAAGGUCUGUGUUCACCACAAACCCACACAGAGCCUCAGGUCCAUCCUGAACCAGCGAGAGCA